CCUACGGGGGGCAGCAGUGAGGAAUAUUGGUCAAUGGACGAGAGUCUGAACCAGCCAAGUAGCGUGAAGGAUGACUGCCCUAUGGGUUGUAAACUUCUUUUAUAUGGGAAUAAAAUGUUCCACGUGUGGGAUUUUGUAUGUACCAUAUGAAUAAGGAUCGGCUAACUCCGUUCCAGCAGCCGCGGUAAUACGGAGGAUCCGAGCGUUAUCCGGAUUUAUUGGGUUUAAAGGGAGCGUAGGUGGAUUGUUAAGUCAGUUGUGAAAGUUUGCGGCUCAACCGUAAAAUUGCAGUUGAAACUGGCAGUCUUGAGUACAGUAGAGGUGGGCGGAAUUCGGGGUGUAGCGGUGAAAUGCUUAGAGAUCACGAAGAACUCCGAUUGCGAAGGCAGUUCACUGGACUGCAACUGACACUGAGGCUCGAAAGUGUGGGUAUCAAACAGGAUUAGAUACCCGGGUAGUC
rnacentral:rRNA from 1 species